rnacentral:rRNA from 1 species
UGGGGAAUAUUGCACAAUGGAGGGAACUCUGAUGCUGCGACGCCGCGUGAACGAAGAAGGCUUUCGAGUCGUAAAGUUCUUUUAUAUGGGAAGAUAAUGACGGUACCAUAAGAAAAAGCCCCGGCUAACUACGUGCCAGCAGCCGCGGUAAUACGUAGGGGGCUAGCGUUGUCCGGAAUCACUGGGCGUAAAGGGUUCGCAGGCGGAAAUGCAAGUCAGGUGUAAAAGGCAGUAGCUUAACUACUGUAAGCAUUUGAAACUGCAUAUCUUGAGAAGAGUAGAGGUAAGUGGAAUUUUUAGUGUAGCGGUGAAAUGCGUAGAUAUUAAAAAGAAUACCGGUGGCGAAGGCGGCUUACUGGGCUCAUUCUGACGCUGAGGAACGAAAGCGUGGGUAGCAAACAGG